CAUGUGCUAGACUGCGUAGUGCAUUUCCAAAAACGAUUUUUUGAGAAGUGAUCAAAUCUGCACUUACUUCAAGACCAUACCUAGGAUGCAUUGAGCAUACACUUGCGACCGGCCUUUUUCAGCCACUGGUAGACUGUUAAUAUUGGUCUUUGGUCGGUACAUGCCAUGCAGCACCCAGCCUGUUGUCAUCCUGGUCUGAGCCACUAUAUGGCACUGUGGUAAAGAAGAAGCUACAGCAUGAUUUCUUGGCUCGGGAGACAAGGAUUCGAAUCCUGAUCAACCCUAUUGAGCAGCUCUAUCAGCUACACCAUAGAAGUUAUAAUACAAGUUAGAAGAAGAGGAGGGAGGUGGUUACCUUCAACCCUCAGGGACACAGCAAGGACAACCAACAACAUUUCUGGAAUUUGCCAGGAGCUUCUGGGAAAAUUAGGGACCUGAGGGAAUAUCUAUCCUCGAGGAAGCCUGCGCCACCAGGGGCAUCAGAGGGUGCCAAUACUGUUGGUUUCGGAGCCAGGGCCAAGGACACCUGGAGGCAGAUCUGGGAGAGCAGGGCUGAUGGAUAUGCUUCCUUCAUUUUAGGUUUAAAGUGUGUCAAAAACAGCAAGAUGUACAACCUGCAGGAGUGCAUCCUCCUGCCAACCACCUGCACGAGUCUUCACGACAUUAGCUGCCUUCAUCUAGCACUCUAGUGACGGAGGAGGGCGAGGAGCUGGAGAGAGGGCUGCUACAUCUGUCUCCAUCUAAAUUUGACACUGAUCUAAGUAGGUGGAUUCUAGUGUUUUAAAUCUUAUCGCUCUUAACUCUGUUUAUGUCUUAUGUCACCUGUGCUUUCUGGGCCACCAGAGCGGCCCCUGGCUGUGUCUCCACAAACAGGUUUUUCUCCAUCAGUGUAGGAUUCUGUUCUCAGCAGAAUUCACCUGCUAUUACUGUUCUCCGUCAGCUAGUUUGUUAUUUUGGCCAUGUUCAGGCCUGUUCUGAUGCUUGUGUUCUUUUACUCUCCCACUAAUUUAAGGAAUUAACAUGUCACCGAUGAUGGUAAGUGUUUUCUUCUUUUGCAGGCUUUUUUUCAGGCUGUCAUUCAAGGAUUUGGCAUGUGAGAUUCCUAUCUUGGAUAGGUUCACUUGUCACAUCUUUGACUGACAGGCAGUGUGCUUACUAUAUAUUGAUAUUGUUUCCAUGAUUUACCUGUUUUCCUAAAGGCAUUGUGUAUUUCUCAUACAAAUGAUUUGAUUCAUAAUUUAAACAGGGUGUUUUCAGACUGUACUCUGUAUAUUGUACUGUAGUUAGAGAGACCGCAGGUAAAGACACAUUGUGAAACAUAAACAAACUUGACUGGGUGAAGAAAAUGACACUGAAUUGGUUUUACAGCACACAAGACGAAGCCAACAGCUACUGUUUCCAGACCUGCCAAGCCUGAUCACCCCUCUGUGAUUGUUGCUUCUGUUAAAGGUGAUUCAAUUCGCAAAUGUUAUGUGACCAAAAUGUUCUUACAGACACGGCGAAUGCCCCGCUGCCAGGCCAUCGCCAGACAGCUCAGGAUAGAAGGGCAGGCGCCCAAUUUGUUGAGGAUGUUGUCCUCCUAUACUACCAGUGUACCUCACAUAUGUUUCAGUUUCAUUCUGACAAAUCCAAUUCCAAUUCCAUUAUUAUUUCCAUAUAUAUAUAUAUAUAUCCUUACAGAUGCUGGUGGCUGU